rnacentral:rRNA from 1 species
GCAACCUACCUAUCGAGAGGGAAUAACCCGGACGAAAGUCGGACUAAUACCGACAUAAAACAGGGGCACCGCAUGGUGAUAUUUGUAAAGAAAUUCGCUGAUAGAUGGGCAUGCGUUCCAUUAGGUAGUUGGUGAGGUAACGGCUCACCAAGCCGACGAUGGAUAGGGGAACUGAGAGGUUGGUCCCCCACACUGGUACUGAGACACGGACCAGACUCCUACGGGAGGCAGCAGUGAGGAAUAUUGGUCAAGUGGGCGGGAGCCUGAACCAGCCAAGUCGCGUGAAGGAAGAAGGAUCUAUGGUUCGUAAACUUCUUUUGCAGGGGAAUAAAGUGCAGGACGUGUCCUGUUUUGUAUGUACCCUGAGAAUAAGGAUCGGCUAACUCCGUGCCAGCCGCCGC